GAUGAACGCUAGCUACAGGCUUAACACAUGCAAGUCGAGGGGAAACGACAUCGAAAGCUUGCUUUUGAUGGGCGUCGACCGGCGCACGGGUGAGUAACGCGUAUCCAACCUGCCCACCACUUGGGGAUAACCUUGCGAAAGUAAGACUAAUACCCAAUGAUAUCUCUAGAAGACAUCUGAAAGAGAUUAAAGAUUUAUCGGUGAUGGAUGGGGAUGCGUCUGAUUAGCUUGUUGGCGGGGUAACGGCCCACCAAGGCUACGAUCAGUAGGGGUUCUGAGAGGAAGGUCCCCCACAUUGGAACUGAGACACGGUCCAAACCCCUACGGGAGGCAGCAGUGAGGAAUAUUGGUCAAUGGACGAGAGUCUGAACCAGCCAAGUAGCGUGCAGGAUGACGGCCCUAUGGGUUGUAAACUGCUUUUACAAGGGAAUAAAGUGUGUCUCGUGAGACUUUUUGCAUGUACCUUAUGAAUAAGGACCGGCUAAUUCCGUGCCAGCCGCCGCCGUAA
rnacentral:rRNA from 1 species